rnacentral:rRNA from 1 species
CAGUCGCCGCGGGAAUACGUAGGUGGCAAGCGUUGUCCGGAAUUAUUGGGCGUAAAGGGCUCGCAGGCGGUUUCUUAAGUCUGAUGUGAAAGCCCCCGGCUCAACCGGGGAGGGUCAUUGGAAACUGGGAAACUUGAGUGCAGAAGAGGAGAGUGGAAUCCCACGUGUAGCGGUGAAAUGCGUAGAGAUGUGGAGGAACACCAGUGGCGAAGGCGACUCUCUGGUCUGUAACUGACGCUGAGGAGCGAAAGCGUGGGGAGCGAACAGGAUUAGAGACCCCAGUAGUCCCUGUCUCUUAUAC